rnacentral:tRNA from 1 species
AGAGAAAACUGUGAAGUUACUGCUAAUAAUUUCGUGUCAAUUUAGUUUGACUUUCUCUU